AUGAGAGCACAGAGGUCAGAAACCAACUGCCUUGUCUCUGAAAAAGAACUGGACGAGACAGAGAAUUCUAUGGGUUUUUAUGCCAAUGAGGGAUAUGAAAGCUGGGAGAAGAUCCCUAGAGGACAGCAGCAGCUGGGGCAGGCCAUGACGUGGAGACCAUCCAGAGCGAGUGUGGAGACAGCUGAUGCAGGCAGCAGCCUCUCUGGACACUCUCCCAGCUCUCAGGGACUGGGAUGUACACAAGCACAGACAGCUGUUUCUUCCCUGUAGGACAAAAGGGCCACACUGGAUAUAUGGACUACUGGGCCCCGGUCCCUGCCUUCACAAGCAAUCACCUCUUACAAUUCUUUUUCUGAACUUAAUGAGGACUGCCUGAAAAUCUCUUCAUUUAUGCUGUCCUUGAACAGCUGUUCCAGAGAGCACAAUUGCAAAAAAGGGGGGCACUCUCUAUUUCCUAGCGUAAGUGUAUUUAUAUGUAGCAUGCAAAAUAUUGGUUUGUGCCAACACUGUCCUUUCUCUGAAGUGUUCCUAAACCACUGCCGUGGUACAGUUAUAAGUAGAAAGUAUAUAUACCCCUUUUACUGCUCCCCACUUGGCUGAGCAAGUGAAGGGCUGCAAGCCCUCUCUCCUAACACGGCCUUCCCCUUCCCCACCCUCUGCUACCUGUUGCACUCACUCUUAUGAUGAGCAACCAGCCCAGUAGGCAGGGCUCUUCAUAAGGUCUCAUCACUGCAAAUACUUCCUAGAAUCUCAUUUGCUUUUCAUAUGGUUGUCUCCAAUGGUGGUUCAUAGUCAUUCUUUGUUUAGUUGGCAAAUACAUGCCUCUCUCUCUGUCAACAAUAAGGUCUGUAAACAACAAAGUUUCAUGUGUUUGAUUUUUGUUUUCAUCAAAUAUAUAGUUCAUGGUUUUAUUGAAAUUCAUUCCAUUUCCACUGCUGUGGUGCUGAAGUUCAUCUGGUAAUUUGAAUAGGAUAUCCAAGCCUCCUCUCAUUUUAUGAUACUGUCCAGCUUCAAGGCAUUAGCAAAUUUCAUCAACAUUACUGUUACUUAUUGUGCUAAAGUCAUGGAUGGAAAUGUUAAAGAAGACAGGUCUUAAGAUCAGAGAAUUUCCCCUAUUAUCAUCACUCUAAUUUCAUGUUUUGCAGUCAUUGCUACUCCCUUUGCGCUGCAGACUCAAGAUAACAUGUACAGACAGAAGAGCUUGUGCUUGCCGAGCAGUAUCUUCAUGGAGCUUUACAAAGGCAGCACCAACACAGAUUACAGCUGGGAU
rnacentral:lncRNA from 1 species